rnacentral:lncRNA from 1 species
CAUGCUCCAUACAGGAUCUUGAGUCUCUAAUAAUCUCUUUCAAGAGCUGAGCAUUGUUUGUGUGUUGACAUUCAAAGAUUCUAUUACAUCUCUCCUUCCACAUCCACCAAAUAGCGCAUCUGAAAUUAACCUUUGCCAGUUGUGUAAGAGGCCCUUUUCUUGAGAAACAUUGCAUAAGGUCGCCUAGUUCUUGGUGCAAGUUUGGUUGCGACAGUCUAUUGAGUUCAAAUC